rnacentral:rRNA from 1 species
AGCAGCCGCGGUAAUUCCAGCUCCAAUAGCGUAUAUUAAAGUUGUUGCAGUUAAAAAGCUCGUAGUUGAAUUUCGGGGUUAGUAGGUUGGUCAUGCCUCUGGUAUGUACUGGUCUCACUGAUUCCUCCUUCCUGAUGAACCUUAAUGCCAUUUAUUUGGUGUUUUGGGGAAUUUGGACUGUUACUUUGAAAAAAUUAGAGUGUUUAAAGUAAGCUAACGCUUGAAUACAUUAGCAUGGAAUAAUGAAAUAGGACGUUCGAUCCUAUUUUGUUGGUUUCUAGGAUUGACGUAAUGAUUAAUAGGGAUAGUUGGGGGCAUUAGUAUUCAAUUGUCAGAGGUGAAAUUCUUGGAUUUAUUGAAGACUAACUACUGCGAAAGCAUUUGCCAAGGAUGUUUUCAUUAAUCAAGAACGAAAGUUAGGGGAUCGAAGACGAUCAGAUACCGUCGUAGUCUUAACCAUAAACUAUGCCGACUAGGGAUCGGAUGAUGUUAAUUUUUUAAUGUACUCAUUCGGCGCCUU